GAUGAACGCUGGCGGCGUGCUUAACACAUGCAAGUCGAACGGGAAACCUUUUAUUGAAGCUUCGGCAGAUUUAGCUGGUUUCUAGUGGCGGACGGGUGAGUAACGCGUGGGUAACCUGCCUUAUACAGGGGGAUAACAACCAGAAAUGGUUGCUAAUACCGCAUAAGCGCACAGGACCGCAUGGUCCGGUGUGAAAAACUCCGGUGGUAUAAGAUGGACCCGCGUUGGAUUAGCUAGUUGGCAGGGUAACGGCCUACCAAGGCGACGAUCCAUAGCCGGCCUGAGAGGGUGAACGGCCACAUUGGGACUGAGACACGGCCCAGACUCCUACGGGAGGCAGCAGUGGGGAAUAUUGCACAAUGGGGGAAACCCUGAUGCAGCGACGACGCGUGAAGGAAGAAGUAUGUCGGUAUGUAAACUUCUAUCAGCAGGGAAGAUAGUGACGGUACCUGAAUAAGAAGCCCCGGCUAACUACGUG
rnacentral:rRNA from 1 species